AUUAAGGCGAGUCCUGGACUCAUCAUAAUCAGUCUGGACUCAUCAUUUUCAAAACUUGCGAGUCCCAAGAUGCAUGAAAAUUGUAAAAUGUUGUAUCAACUGAGCACAUACAUGUAUAUCACCAUUUUAUCACAAAAGUUAAAAAAUAAUCUAAAUUUUGUGUAAUUAGGGAUAGUGAUGCGGCGGCGUUAACUCACUUCUUAAAAGCUUAAUAUUGCAGAAGGUAGAAGAUCUGGAUGCUUCAUACUUUGUAUAUAGAUGCCUUAUGAUAUGAAGUUUCCGUCUGUCAUAUGUCUAUUGUCAUUGACCUCAUUUUCAUGGUUCAGUGACUACUUGAAAAAAAGUUCAGAAUUUUUGUAAUGUUAAUUUCUCUCUUAUUAUGAGUAAUUGGAUAACUAUAUUUGGUAUGUGCGUACCUUGCAAGGUCCUAAUGCCUGUCAGACAGUUUUCAUUUGACCUCGACCUCGUUUCAUGGAUCAGUGAAUAAGGUUAAGUUUUCAUGGUCAAGUCCAUAUCUCAGAUACUAUAAGCAAUAGGUCUACUAUAUUUGGCGUACAUGUAUGUAAUGAUUGUAAGGUGUACAUGUCCAGCUGGCAGGUGUCAUCUGACCUUGACCUCAUUUUCAUGGUUCAGUGGUACUAGUUUAGUUUUUAUACGACCGCAAAAAAAUUUUGUGGUCGUAUAUUGGUAUGACGUUGGCGUCGUCGUCGUCGUCGUCCGGCGUCGUCGUCGUCGUCCGGCGUCGUCGUCCGAAGACACAUUGGUUUUCGCACUCUAACUUUAGUUUAAGUGAAUGGAUCUUUUUGAAAUUUGACCAUAAGGUUAAAUACCACAAAAGGAAGGUUGGGAUUGAUUUUGGGGGUUAUGGUACCAACAGUUAAGGAAUUAGGGGCCAAAAAGGGGCCAAAAAUAAGCAUUUUCUAGUUUCCAGACAAUAACUGUGGAACGGUGUAUGGAUCUCUCUGAAAUUAUACUACAAGUUUCCAUACCACAAAGGGAUGGUUAGGAUUUGCUUUGGGCGUUAUGGCUCAAACCGUUUAGGAAUGAGGGGCAAAAAAGGGGGAAAAACAAGGUUGUCCUGGUUAAUGGACAAAUACUUUAGUACAAAACAUAAUUUAAAGCAGUGUAAGGGAGAUAAAUCAAAUACAUCAUUGAAAUUAUCUCCCUUACACUGCUUUUAAAUUAUGUAUAAAGUAAUGGUUAAUGAACAAUAAAGAUAAUUUAAAACAGUGUAAGGGAGGUAAUCCAAAUACAACGUUUUGGUUACUUCCCUUACACUGCUUUUAAAUUAUGUUUAAAGAAAUGCAUAUUUAUAAAGGAAGACCAGUAAAAAUAUCUGCAAAUGUUGCAUCUUUUUUUUUUACAAAAAAAUCCAUAUGAAAGAUUUGACACUAUAUUUUUAAUUCUAUUAUAAAAUAGAUUAAGUUAGCACUAUGGUAAAUUUAAAUGGGUAAUUAUGGUUGCCAACUCCAUUGGAAAUUUGAAAUGAGAUUAUGACCAUAUCUUGAGGGAAAGAAUUUUUUGGGGGAAAAAAGGGGGGGGGGAUAAAAAGAAAUUGUGGGGGGUCAAUUUUUUCUCAUUUCAGAUUUCAGAAAUUAAAAAGAAUUAUUCUUCAAAUAUUAUUUUUUUUUCAAAUUUCAAAUAUUGAAAAAUUUUAAGAAGUAAUCUUUAAUUGCACAGUAUGGCGCAUAAGAUUUGUAAAAUCUUUGAUCACGUUUAUUUAUUUGUUAUGCCGAAUCUAACAGUGUAUUUAGAUUUUUAAUUUUGGGUCCAGUUUUCAAAUUGGUCUACAUUAAGGUCCAAAGGGUCCAAAAUUAAACUUUGUUUGAUUUUAGCAAAAAUUGAAUAUAUGAGGUUCUUUGAUAUGCUGAAUCUAAACAUGUAUUUAGAUUUUUGAUUUUUGGCCCAGUUUUCAAGUUGGUCCAAAUUGGGGUCCAAAAUUAAACUUUGUUUGAUUUCAACAAAAAUUGAAUAUAUGGGAUUCUUUGAUAUGCUGAAUCUAACCAUGUAUUUAGAUUUUUUAUUUGUGGACCCCGUUAUCAAAUUGGGUCAUAUUGAGGUCAAAAGGGUCCAAAAUUAAACUUUGUUUGAUUUCAUCAAAAAUUGAAUUAUUGGGGUUCUUUGAUAUUCCAAAUCUAACCGUGUAUUUAGAUUUUUAAUUUUGGGUCCUGUUUUUUAAAUUGGUCUACAUUAAGGUCCAAAGGGUCCAAAAUUAAACUUAGUUUGAUUUUAACAAAAAUUGAAUUCUUGGGGUUCUUUGAUAUGCUGAAUCUAAACAUGUGUUUAGAUUUUUGAUUAUGGGCCCAGUUUUCAAGUUGGUCCAUGUUGGGGUCCAAAAUUAAACUUUGUUUGAUUUCAACAAAAAUUGAAUGUAUGGGGUUCUUUGAUAUGCUGAAUCUAAACAUGUAUUUUGAUUUUUGAUUAUGGGCCCAGUUUUCAAGUUGGUCCAAAUUGGGGUCCAAAAUUAAACUUUGUUUGAUUUCAACAAAAAUUGAAUAUAUGAGGUUCUUUGCUAUGCUGAAUCUAACCAUGUAUUUAGAUUUUUUAUUUGUGGGCCCCACUAUCAAAUUGGUUCAUAUUGAGGUCAAAAGGGUCCAAAAUUUAACUUUGUUUGAUUUCAUCAAAAAUUGAAUUAUUGGGGUUCUUUGUUAUGCCAAAUCUAACCGUUUUUUUAGAUUUUUAAUUUGGGUCCCGUUUUUUAAAUUGGUCUUCAUUGAGGUCCAAAGGGUCCAAAACUAAACUUAGUUUGAUUUUAGCAAAAAUUGAAUUCUUGGGGUUCUUUGAUAUGCUGAAUCUAAACAUGUGUUUAGAUUUUUUAUUAUGGGCCCAGUUUUCAAGUUUGUCCAAGUUGGGGUCCAAAAUUAAACUUUGUUUGAUUUUAACAAAAAUUGAAUAUAUGGGGUUCUUUGAUAUGCUGAAUCUAACCAUGUAUUUUGAUUUCGGACAUUGGACCAUAAUAGGUAAAUUAAAAAAAUUCAAGUUCUUAGACCACAUUCUUUCUGUGUCAGAAACCUAUGCUGUGUCAAAUAUUUAAUAACAAUCCAAAUUCAGAGCUGUAUCAAGCUUGAAUGUUGUGUCCAUACUUGCCCCAACUGUUCAGGGUUCGACCUCUGCGGUCGUAUCAAGCUGCGCCCCAGCGAAGCAUUUUAUUGUGUUUUGGUCUGUUUUUCUAAUACUGUAUGCAGUAGGUCAACUAUAUUUGGUGUAUGGAAAUAUUUUACAAUGUACAUAUCAGUCUGGCAAUCAGUCUGGCAGGUUUUAUUUGACCUUGACCUAAUUUUCACGGUUCAUUGCUCAAUGUUAAGCUUUUGUGUUUUGGUCUGUUUCUCUUAAACUUUAAGUAAUAUGUCAACUAUAUUUGGUGUAAGGAAUGAUUGUAAGGUGUAUGCAUGUAUGUAUGUCUGGUAGGUAUCAUCUGACCUUGACUUCAUUUUCAUGGUUCAUUGGUCCAUAUGGAAUUUCCAUGGUUUGGUCUGUUUGUUUUAUACGACAAGCAAUAGGUCAUCUAUAUUCUGUGUAUGGAAUGAUUGUAUUAAAGGUGUACAUGUA